rnacentral:rRNA from 1 species
UUUCGCAAUGCCCGAAAGGGUGACGAAGCGACGCCGCGUGAGUGAGGAAGGCCUUCGGGUUGUAAAGCUCUGUCAGGAGUUAAGAAAUAUAAGUGUGUUAAUACCACAUUUAUUUGACGAAGGCUCCAAAGGAAGCCACGGCUAACUCUGUGCCAGCAGCCGCGGUAAUACAGAGGUGGCAAGCGUUGUUCGGAAUUAUUGGGCGUAAAGAGCACGUAGGUGGGUUUGUAAGUCAGAUGUGAAAGCCUUCUGUUCAACGGAAGAAUUGCAUCUGAAACUGCGAGUCUUGAGUGUAGGAGGGGAGAAUGGAACUUCUGGUGGAGCGGUGAAAUGCGUAGAUAUCAGAAGGAACGCCGGCGGCGAAAGCGAUUCUCUGGCCUAUUACUGACACUCGGUGUGCGAAAGCUAGGGGAGCAAGCGGGAUUAGAUGCCCCGGUAGUCCUAGCUGUAAACGAUGGGCACUAAGUAGAGGGGUUUUA